CUUCUAUUUUCCUCUGUACUGGUCUCUUUCCUCCUUCACUCUGGUCACGGAAACGGGUAUUUGCCCUUCAGGCUGUAACUGUGUGAUUAUCAUGAAGAUAAGGUGCUGAACAGAACAUGGAGAGACUGGAUCCCCACCCCUGAGAAGUUUCCAUUCUCUGCGGAACACUGAUAUUCCUCGCUGUCCCCCCAAGAAUACUGCAGGUGAUUUAAUUGGUAAAGCAAGAGGAAGGCUCAGAAACCUGUGCAGACUACCCAGAAAUGAAGAGAAGAAGGAAGACAAGAUGGAAGGCUACUGCUCUUGGCGUUGACUGCUGUGAUGCCAAGCAACCAGAUGAAGAUCUUGGUGGAGAGGACCAAAUCGUUCACUCAUCCCUUAUUUCUUUUAAUUCCUUCAACCGUUUAUUCAGCCAUUCAUUCAUCAACCUCAGCUGACUUCUUCUGUAACUCUUAAAGUGGGGUCUGAAGGGAGUUUAGAGUGACUCUGAAAAGUCUCAGGUGAACUAGAUUACAAUUAAUGUUGCUGUUACUCUGAACAUAAAAGACAUGCUUUUGUUAAUAUAGCUGGUAAGUCCUUUGCGGUGUGGGGGGAGGGAGGAAUAAACCAGAAACCCUAAUAUCUGAGGCCUAAGCU
rnacentral:lncRNA from 1 species